UACGUAGGUGGCGAGCGUUGUCCGGAAUCAUUGGGCGUAAAGCGCGUGUAGGCGGUCCGGUAAGUCCGCUGUGAAAGUCGGGGGCUCAACCCUCGGAUGCCGGUGGAUACUGUCGGGCUCGAGUACGGAAGAGGCGAGUGGAAUUCCUGGUGUAGCGGUGAAAUGCGCAGAUAUCAGGAGGAACACCAAUUGCGAAGGCAGCUCGCUGGGACGUUACUGACGCUGAGACGCGAAAGCGUGGGGAGCAAACAGG
rnacentral:rRNA from 1 species